rnacentral:rRNA from 1 species
AACGAACGCUGGCGGCAGGCCUCAAACAUGCAAGUCUAGGGGGUGUAGCAAUACAUCACCGGCGGACGGGUGCGUAACGCGUGGGAAUAUACCUAUCGAUUCGGAACAACUGAGGGAAACUUCAGCUAAUACCGAAUACGUCCUAACGGAGAAAGAUUUAUCGUCGAUAGAUUAGCCCGCGUUCGAUUAGCUAGUUGGUGGGGUAACGGCCCACCAAGGCGACGAUCGAUAGCUGUUCUGAGAGGAAGAUCAGCCACACUGGGACUGAGACACGGCCCAGACUCCUACGGGAGGCAGCAGUUGGGAAUCUUGGACAAUGGGGGAAACCCUGAUCCAGCCAUGCCGCGUGAGUGAUGAAGGCCUUCGGGUUGUAAAACUACUUUCGUGGGGGAAGAUAAUGACGGUACCCCAAGAAGAAG